AAAAAAAAAAAGAAAAACCCCUUAAAUCACAUAUAGAUAAAUACUAGAUUAGCGGCAAUUUCAUACUCAAAUUUUUAGUUUCCCUCUCUACACUCUCAUUAACCCAUAUAACCUAAGAUUAGCGGCACUCUUAACUUCAAAAUUGUAGUUUCCCUCUUAUCUAUCUUAAACCGCAUAACCAGUUCACCCUAAAACCACAUAUGAGACCUAAUUUCUGAUGGUCGUUUGUGGUUCUUACCAUAAGGGUUUGAUUGCCGGUAAUCUGCGGUUCAACACCCAGAAGUUGUCUGGGUUCAAUCGUCGAAUAAGUUAGGUUCGAUCGUCUGUGGUUCAACCUCCGGCUAAGAGUGGUUCAAUCGUCUAUGGUUCAAUUGCCAGGGGUUAACAGCACUCAUUCAACCAUCAUCUUGGUUCGUAUCAACAAAUUUCGGUAGCAUCUCUGUUUUGCAGGUUACCAUCAGUGCGCCGAGUGACCGACGAACCGCUGCUGCAUCACCAAACGACCCAUCUUCACUGCUCGACUCCAUGUUGCUUCAAUCCUCACUUCAGUCUGUAGCAGGGGGCGCAUCAGUUCUGAGUAUUUUUAAAUGGUUUCGCUUGUAAUACAACCUCAGCUUGCAGAAGGGCUUGUCUUAGAAACAAAGUCAGUCCAUCAGGUGUUCUACUCAUAGUUUUUGAUCAUUUGCCCGAUGCAUUAGAUCAGGAACACUUUUUAUCUUCUCUUAACAACAAUCUCCAACAUUAAAGGUAGUCUUAAGAAAGUGAGCUUGACUCAAACGAAAUUGCGUUUUGCUCAUUCUGUAGUUAAUAUGAUAAUCUUUUGUUCUGUUAAAUUUUAUCGUGGGGUAAUUGCUAUUGGUGGCGAGGAUGAUGCUAUUGAAUAUUUAGACAUGAGGAUAAGAUCUUCUGUGGCCAGGCUCAAUACUGUUACAUCUUCUAGUGUGGGCGAUCAGGAAGUAACUGCUAUAGAGUUUGAUGGAGAUGGAGCUUAUCACGUGUCUGUUGGAACUUGGAGGUUGAGGUGGACUGGUUGAAGUUGAGAAAAACUAGUCGGAAAAGCACAAAAAAUGAUUGAAGAUAAUUAUAAAAGAAUAAAAGCCGAGGUCGAAAUUAUGUGAAAAGAUAUUGCCAGCCAACGACACAACUUGGAAGCUAUGAUGCAGAAGGUUAUGAAAUAACUACGAGAUGAAUAGAAUGUUUUAAUUUUUCUUUAUUAUUGUAAUUGACAUUUUUGUUGACUAUAAUUUUAUUUGAGUUUUGGACAAACAAGUAAAAGUACAGAUUGAACUUAUCUGAUAAGGUUGCAUUUGUGU
rnacentral:lncRNA from 1 species